rnacentral:misc_RNA from 1 species
AAUAAAUUAUAUUCUCUCCCUGCUAAUUUGAAGGGGGAACAAUCAACUCCAUAACUCUAAUAAUUUCUUGUGGCAAAUAAAAAGCAAAAGUACUCAAAGCCUAAUUACCCCUCUCAUCCACAUAAUCACACACCUUAUAGCCUACCAUGGCUAUAGGAACAUCCCUAACAGCCAUGUCUCUCAACACAAUAUCAUCAAGCAACCAAUAAUCCAUCCAGAAAUUAAUAGAUCUCCCAUUUCCUAAACACCAUCGCAAUUUUGGGGCCAGCAAAUCCCAACUACUGCCAAUCCCUCUCCACAAAAUAAAACUUCCUAACUUGCUAAAACUACUAAGAGUUAAUUCAAAACUAAAAUUAUACUUGCUCCUCGGCACCUUCACCCAUAACGCAAACAACUUAGACAUCAAACCCUAACUUAACUUCAUAAAGAAAGCUCUAUUAAGCUCCACCAUUUUCCUAAAGCCAACCUUCUUUUAAUUUUUGGCUGGGAUACACUAUUCCAAGACACCAAAUCCAGCUUCCUACUAUCCUCCUUAGCUCCCCAAAUAAACUGAUGACAAUUAUUUCUCAAUACUCUUACAAAUCCCCAUUAAUAACUGAGUGGUUUGCAUAGCAUAAACUAGCAUGGCAG